rnacentral:rRNA from 1 species
UACGUAGGGUGCGAGCGUUGUCCGGAAUUAUUGGGCGUAAAGAGCUCGUAGGCGGUCUGUCGCGUCGAUCGUGAAAACUUGGGGCUUAACCCUGAGCUUGCGGUCGAUACGGGCAUGACUGGAGUUCGGCAGGGGAGACUGGAAUUCCUGGUGUAGCGGUGAAAUGCGAAGAUAUCAGGAGGAACACCGAUGGCGAAGGCAGGUCUCUGGGCCGCAACUGACGCUGAGGAGCGAAAGCAUGGGGAGCGAACAGG